rnacentral:rRNA from 1 species
GGGCCCGCACAAGCGGUGGAGUAUGUGGUUUAAUUCGAUGCAACGCGAAGAACCUUACCAGGGUUUGACAUCCUGCGAAUCUCUUGGAAACAGGAAAGUGCCUUCGGGAGCGCAGUGACAGGUGGUGCAUGGCUGUCGUCAGCUCGUGUCGUGAGAUGUUGGGUUAAGUCCCGCAACGAGCGCAACCCACGUCUUUAGUUGCCAGCAUUUAGUUGGGCACUCUAGAGAGACCGCCGGUGAUAAACCGGAGGAAGGUGUGGAUGACGUCAAGUCAUCAUGCCCCUUACAUCCUGGGCCUACACACGUACUACAAUGCUACGGACAAAGGGCAGCAAACUCGCGAGAGCUAGCAAAUCCCAUAAACCGUGGCUCAGUUCAGAUCGUAGGCUGCAACUCGCCUACGUGAAGGAGGAAUCGCUAGUAAUCGCAGGU